GUCCUAUGUUUUUGAAGUAAGAGACUUGAAAUUUAAAAUGUAUGCUUUAUAGAUAGUGAGAAGGUGUCCAAAUAAUGUAUCUUUAGAAAUCAACUCCCUUUUGGGGUUAAAACGGGGGAUCGUAGGCUGACUCACUGAUCACGAAAUGUCCGAAACUAUAACACCUACAAACUUGAAAUUUAGCAGGUAGGCUCCUUAUAGGUCGUAGACAUCCGCUAAGAACGAAUUUCACGAAAUUCGACCUCUAAGGCGUUAAAACGGGUGUUGGAAGUUUGUAUGAAAGUCCUGUGUUUUUGAAGUAAGAUACUUGAAAUAUAAAAUGUAUGCUCUAUAGAUAGUGAGAAGGUGUCCAAAUAAUGUAUCUUUAGAAAUCAACUCCUUUUUGGGAUUAAAACGGGGGAUGGUAGGUUGACUCACUCAUCACGAAAUCUCCGAAACUAUAACAGCAACAAACCUGAAAUUUGGCAGAUAGGUUCCUUAUGGGGCAUAGACAUCCACUAAGAACUGAUUUUACGAAACUUGACCCCUAAGGGUAUAAAAGG
rnacentral:misc_RNA from 1 species